rnacentral:rRNA from 1 species
UACGGGGGGUGCGAGCGUUGUCCGGAAUCACUGGGCGUAAAGGGCUCGUAGGCGGUUUGUCGCGUCGGGAGUGAAAACACCGGGCUUAACUCGGUGCUUGCUUUCGAUACGGGCAGACUAGAGGCAUGCAGGGGAGAACGGAAUUCCUGGUGUAGCGGUGAAAUGCGCAGAUAUCAGGAGGAACACCGGUGGCGAAGGCGGUUCUCUGGGCAUGUCCUGACGCUGAGGAGCGAAAGUGUGGGGAGCGAACAGG